rnacentral:rRNA from 1 species
GAUGAACGCUGGCGGCGUGCUUAACACAUGCAAGUCGAACGGAGAAGUCUAGCUGAUUUCCUUCGGGCGUGAGUCUUUUGUGAGUGAGUGGCGGACGGGUGAGUCACGCGUGGGUAACCUGACUUGUACAAGGGGAGAAUAGUACGAAACAGCUGCUCAUACUGCAUAAGGGCACAGCAUCACAUGCGGCGGUGGGGAAAACUCCGGCGGUAUAUGAUGGACCCGCGUUGGAUUAGCCAGAUGGUGGGGUAACGGCCCACCAAGGCGACGAUGCAUACCCGAGAUGAGAGGGUGACCGGCUACAUUGGGACUGAGACACGGCCCACACUCGUACGGGGGGCAGGAGUAGGGAAUAUUGCGGAAGGGGCGAAAGCCUAAUGCAGCGACGCCGCGGGAGAGAAGAAUUAUUUCGGUAUGUGAUGCUCUAUCAGCAGGGAAGAUAAUGACGGUACCUGACUAAGAAGCACCGGCUAAAUACGUG